UCGAUUCCGGAACUCCAUCAACCCCAACGGAGUUGCGGAAUCGACAGGGAGAGCCGCGAACAUCGAUCCCGCGCGGUGAGGACAGGUUCUCAGAGUUCUGGCACUAAGGUUGGAACAGGAGGGACAAGAGUAGCUGAGCCCUGUCUCUGCAGAACAAGAGAAAAUGAAAGGCAGCUUACCUGGCAGGAGUCUUUGCCACCUUCCAGGAAUCCCACGCAGAUCAUGUUUGUAGUGAUUUGUCCUGGACAAUGACUGGGACAAGGGCACCAUCCAAAAACUAGGAAAAUUGGGUUUGAAGAUUGGACCUCUGGAAUUUCAGCAAGAAGUCUGAAUGGCUCAAAUAGUAGGUGGUCGCUGAAGGAGAGAGGGCAAGGAAAAAGAGAAGAGCUGAUAGUCCUGCAAGAGGAGGGGAGGAGUCAAUGGAGGCAACGCUAAAUAUAAGCCCCAGGCGGAUUGCAAGGGGGAAUAGGAAUUGAGAGGACUUGCAGCCGGUGGGUGCGGGAGAUAGACCGGAGAAGCGCACUGUCACCAGGAAAAGGCAGGUCUACGUGAUUGGGGACUCCUUACUGAGAAGAAUAGAUAGGCCUGUGACUAGAGCUGAUCGGGAGAACAGAAGGGUGUGCUGUAUGCCGGGUGCUAAGAUACAGGAUGUGGACCUGAGGCUGAAAAGGAUACUAGAGGGAGCGGGGAAGAAUUCGUUGAUUGUCCUUCAUGUGGGAACGAAUGAUACGGCUAGAUACUCUCUGGAAUGUAUCAAGGGAGACUAUGCCAGACUGGGGAAGACGCUUAAGGAAAUCGAGGCUCAGGUGAUCUUCAGUGGGAUUCUGCCGGUUCCUAGAGAAGGGUGACAAAAGUGUGACAAGAUUAUGGCGAUCAACAGAUGGCUCAGGCAGUGGUGC